rnacentral:rRNA from 1 species
CAAUAGCGUAUAUUAAAGUUGUUGCAGUUAAAAAGCUCGUAGUUGGAUUUGUGGCUGUCACGGGCGGCCUAUCACUUAGUGUUAGUGCUUGCCUGUGUCGCCAUCCUUGGGUGGAGCCCGUGUGGCAUUAGGUUGUCGUGCGGGGGAUGCCCAUCGUUUACUGUGAGAAAAUUGGAGUGUUCAAAGCAGGCUUAUGCCGUUGAAUAUGUUAGCAUGGAAUAAUAAGAUAGGACCUCGGUACUAUUUUGUUGGUUUGCGCACCGAGGUAAUGAUUAAUAGGGACAGUUGGGGGUAUUCGUAUUUCAUUGUCAGAGGUGAAAUUCUUGGAUUUCUGAAAGACGAACUACUGCGAAAGCAUUUACCAAGGAUGUUUUCAUUAA